CCAGUUAAUUUUACUGAAGCUUCAUUAGGCUCGGCAGCAGAUUUGAAGUGGAAAUGUAUGUCUUGGUAUGCAUUUCCAGUUACCAUCUGCUGGUGAGAAAGUCAAAUAAAGCUAUAGGAAAAUUAACUGGAACAGCAUGCCACCUUCUGAAAUGGGACUGUCGUGUAUGCAUGGUGUAUGUGCAGCUUAUUGCUAUGCAUGUUACACUGUUUUUGCUGUUACCUGCUGUGUAUUUUAACAUUUGGGUUAAUGGACUCCUUGAGUGGCUGUGUAUUGGACUGACUAGGGACACCUGGAGAGGACUGAUGGGGAUGUAAUAGACUGAUUUUGUGCACCUGUGAAGGGGGAGGGGUUCAUUCACAUUGGUUGAUUAACCACUUGCUUUCACCUGGCCUGGUGCUUUAUAUGAGCUUGCGAGGUGACUGGCAGGAGGGGGCCUUGAGAGGGAGAUGCGACAGCAACUGGCACAACGGCAGAGAGCCCACCAUCAAUGCAAGCUAAGUACCCUGUUAAGGGAAGUUAUAUUUCUAUAGCCUUACUUGCUAUGCGUUAGUAAGUUGGUAGACAAAGUGGCUGGUGGCUCAUAAAUGUUUGUUGUCCGUUGCAGCUCAGGUUUACAUCAGCCGAGCAACAACGCGAUCUGGGGGAAUGCUGGAAGUGCCAAUGAACACCGCCGGAUGUAACGUUGACUGUGUCUGCUGAACAACCGAAGUACAUUCAGGGAAGGAUCCGCCGACCAGCAGACAUUCCUUUAUGUGUUGUGUCUGUUGUCUACGUGACUCGUCAGCCCAGCUGUAAACGCAGAGUGGACAGAAGACGUUUGUUGGGGGUGCUUGCGACGGGACUGCAAUGUUUAUAGCUGGGCUGCUGUGAGUCCUAUGUAAAUUUUAGUAACUGUGCAAUAAAAGCGUAAACUGUUCUUGAACCUCA